GGGGCUGGAGAGAUGACUCAGUGGU
rnacentral:piRNA from 1 species